GUCCUAAGAAAUGGAUUUGGCUGGGCACAGUGGCUCACACCUGUAAUCCCAGCACUUUAGGAAGCUGAGGCAAACAGACCACAUGAGGUGAGCAGAUCGCCUGAGGUCAGGAGUUCCAGACCAGCCUGGCCAACAUGGUGAGGAAACUGAGCACUGAGACAUUAAAUAACUUGCCCAAGGUCAUAGAACAGGAGACCUCAAGCUAGUGGACCUGGCUAAGCCACACCUGGGUCCUGACCCACAGAAACGGUAAGAUACAAAUGGUCUCUUGUUUCAUGCCACUAAGUCUUGAGGU
rnacentral:lncRNA from 13 species